AGAACACCCAGAACGGAGUCAGGAUCAAGACGUGGCCAGAUUCUCAUGAGGGUGUUGCCUCGGACUUGCACUUUGAGAACCUCAUCAUGGACAACGUUGGAAACCCUGUCCUGAUCGACCAAGAGUACUGCCCAUGGAACCAAUGCAAAUUACAGAAUCCAUCAAGAGUGAAGCUUAGCAAAGUGAGCUUCAAGAACAUUAAGGGAACUUCUUCUACACCUCUUGCGGUGAAGCUUGUUUGCAGCGGGGGAUAUCCGUGCCAAAACGUGGAAGUUGGGGGCAUUGAUAUCAAAUACAAUGGAAA
rnacentral:misc_RNA from 1 species